rnacentral:rRNA from 1 species
UACAGAGGGUGCGAGCGUUAAUCGGAAUUACUGGGCGUAAAGGGCGCGUAGGCGGUUGUGUGAGGGUGAUGUGAAAGCCCUGGGCUUAACCUAGGAAGUGCAUCGCAAACGACAUAACUGGAGUAUAAGAGAGGGUGGCGGAAUUUCCGGUGUAGCGGUGAAAUGCGUAGAGAUCGGAAGGAACGUCAAUGGCGAAGGCAGCCACCUGGCUUAAUACUGACGCUGAAGCGCGAAAGCGUGGGGAGCGAACAGG